rnacentral:rRNA from 1 species
CCGGCGACCGGCGCACGGGUGAGUAACACGUAUGCGACCUGCCCCCCGCAGGGGGAUAACCGGGAGAAGUCCCGACUAAUACCGCGUAACGCCGCGGACCUGCAUGGGUCUGCGGCCAAAGGAAGCGAUUCCGGCGGGGGAUGGGCAUGCGGCGCAUUAGCUAGUCGGCGGGGUAACGGCCCACCGAGGCGACGAUGCGUAGGGGUUCUGAGAGGAAGGUCCCCCACACUGGUACUGAGACACGGACCAGACUCCUACGGAAGGCAGCAG